rfam:Candidatus Daviesbacteria bacterium RIFCSPHIGHO2_12_FTLL_37_11 rifcsphigho2_12_scaffold_2240, whole genome shotgun sequence.
GGUCCGGUAGCUCAACGGCAGAGCAGGAGCCUUUUAAGCUCUUGGUUCGGGGUUCGAAUCCCCGCCGGAUCA